rnacentral:rRNA from 1 species
CUUGGGUGACGAGUGGCGGACGGGUGAGUAAUGUCUGGGAAACUGCCCGAUGGAGGGGGAUAACUACUGGAAACGGUAGCUAAUACCGCAUAACGUCGCAAGACCAAAGAGGGGGACCUUCGGGCCUCUUGCCAUCGGAUGUGCCCAGAUGGGAUUAGCUAGUAGGUGGGGUAACGGCUCACCUAGGCGACGAUCCCUAGCUGGUCUGAGAGGAUGACCAGCCACACUGGAACUGAGACACGGUCCAGACUCCUACGGGAGGCAGCAGUGGGGAAUAUUGCACAAUGGGCGCAAGCCUGAUGCAGCCAUGCCGCGUGUAUGAAGAAGGCCUUCGGGUUGUAAAGUACUUUCAGCGAGGAGGAAGGCGUUGUGGUUAAUAACCGCAACGAUUGACGUUACUCGCAGAAGAAGCACCGGCUAACUCCGUGCCAGCAGCCGCGGUAAUACGGAGGGUGCAAGCGUUAAUCGGAAUUACUGGGCGUAAAGCGCACGCAGGCGGUCUGUCAAGUCGGAUGUGAAAUCCCCGGGCUCAACCUGGGAACUGCAUCCGAAACUGGCAGGCUAGAGUCUUGUAGAGGGGGGUAGAAUUCCAGGUGUAGCGGUGAAAUGCGUAGAGAUCUGGAGGAAUACCGGUGGCGAAGGCGGCCCCCUGAACAAGACUGACGCUCAGGUGCGAAAGCGUGAGGAGCAAACGGGAUUACAUACCCUGAUGACCACGCCGUAUGCUAUGUCGACUUGGAGGUUGUGCCCAUGAAGCGUGGCACUGAUGUAUGGCGUGAGUGGACCGACUGCAGAAUAGG